rnacentral:tmRNA from 1 species
GGGGCUGAUCGGUAUCGACGGGAGUUCCUUCCAUCAUGAUCAAGCCGUGUGGGUACGACCGCACGUAAAUAAACUCGUACACGACGAACAACUGCAAACAACGUCAUGGCGAAGAUCAAGAAUGCUUUCAGCGUUCCAUCAUUCGCUCCUGUUCUCGCCUAACGGUUAGAGAACCAUCUGCCUUAGCCACGUCUGGGUGCUAAGUGUCAGGUGUUAUAUCACCAGACUGGACUGUGAGGUCAUCGAUCUCUCACAUUCGAGAUUUGCGAUCGAUACCUUUGUUACGCAUUUCUUCACGCCUUGAGCGUAGCAACGUAUAAGCGUGAAUGUGCUUGGAAACAUCAUGUUGAAAAGCCUUACCACACGGGAGUUCGAUUCUCCCCAGCUCCACCA